rnacentral:rRNA from 1 species
UACGUAGGCAGCAAGCGUUGUUCGGAAUUACUGGGCGUAAAGAGUGUGUAGGCGGUGCUCUAAGUUCGGUGUGAAAUCUCCCGGCUUAACUGGGAGGGUGCGCCGGAAACUGGAGUGCUCGAGCGUGGGAGAGGAAAGCGGAAUUCCUGGUGUAGCGGUGAAAUGCGUAGAUAUCUGCAGGAACACCCGUGGCGAAAGCGGCGAGCUGGAUCACUACUGACGCUGAAGAACGAAAGCUAGGGGAGCAAACAGG